rnacentral:rRNA from 1 species
AGAGUUGAUCAUGGCUCAGGACGAACGCUGGCGGCGUGCCUAACACAUGCAAGUCGAGCGAGGAGAUUCCUCGGGAUGAUCCUAGCGGCGGACGGGUGAGUAACACGUGGGCAACCUGCCUCAUAGAGAGGAAUAGCCUUCCGAAAGGGAGAUUAAUACCUCAUAACAUUGCAGUUUCGCAUGAAACAGCAAUUAAAGGAGCAAUCCGCUAUGAGAUGGGCCCGCGGCGCAUUAGCUAGUUGGUGAGGUAACGGCUCACCAAGGCGACGAUGCGUAGCCGACCUGAGAGGGUGAUCGGCCACAUUGGGACUGAGACACGGCCCAGACUCCUACGGGAGGCAGCAGUGGGGAAUAUUGCACAAUGGGGGAAACCCUGAUGCAGCCAACGCCGCGUGAGUGAUGACGGCCUUCGGGUUGUAAAGCUCUGUCUUCAGGGACGAUAAUGACGGUACCUGAGGAGGAAGCCACGGCUAACUACGUGCCAGCAGCAGC